rnacentral:rRNA from 1 species
UACGUAGGGACCGAGCGUUGUCCGGAUUCAUUGGGCGUAAAGAGCUCGUAGGCGGCUAUUCAAGUCGAACGUGAAAUCUCGGAGCUCAACUCCGAAACUGCGUUCGAUACUGGGUAGCUAGAGUCUGGUAGGGGGAUCUGGAAUUCCUGGUGUAGCGGUGGAAUGCGCAGAUAUCAGGAGGAACACCGGUGGCGAAGGCGGGAUCCUGGGCCAGUACUGACGCUGAGGAGCGAAAGCGUGGGGAGCAAGCAGG